rnacentral:rRNA from 1 species
GAUGAACGCUGGCGGCGUGCCUAAUACAUGCAAGUCGAGCGAACAGACGAGGAGCUUGCUCCUCUGACGUUAGCGGCGGACGUGAGUAACACGUGGAUAACCUACCUAUAAGACUGGGAUAACUUCGGGAAACCGGAGCUAAUACCGGAUAAUAUAUUGAACCGCAUGGUUCAAUAGUGAAAGACGGUUUUGCUGUCACUUAUAGAUGGAUCCGCGCCGCAUUAGCUAGUUGGUAAGGUAACGGCUUACCAAGGCAACGAUGCGUAGCCGACCUGAGAGGGUGAUCGGCCACACUGGAACUGAGACACGGUCCAGACUCCUACGGGAGGCAGCAGUAGGGAAUCUUCCGCAAUGGGCGAAAGCCUGACGGAGCAACGCCGCGUGAGUGAUGAAGGUCUUCGGAUCGUAAAACUCUGUUAUUAGGGAAGAACAAAUGUGUAAGUAACUAUGCACGUCUUGACGGUACCUAAUCAGAAAGCCACGGCUAACUACGUG